CCCAUAUUCUGAAAAGAGGUAGGACAGGAAAGAAAACCUGUUAGGAAAUCCUUCCGGAACAGCACGGCAGUUUGCCCGCCGGGAGUACAUCACAUGGAGCAGGUCUGCAUGAGCACCGCUUGGAUAAGAGGCUACCAAUCUUUUUCUUCCCUAUGAUUAGAAACACAUUUUAUCUUCAGGAACUAUUCACAUGAUGCAACAUCUCUACUUCAGUAUCUGUACACGUGCAGCAUAAUGUAGGAACUCCUGGAUUAUUAUCCUUGGCUAGUACUCCUCAGAGGUAAGGCUGGACUAGAUGAUCCCUGAGGUCCCUUCCAACCUGUGAUUCUGUGAUUCAGAGAAAGCUGCCAGGUAAUUACUUAGUUCCGGCACUGCGGUGUCAUCCUUCAGAGAGAUUAAAACAUAUAAUGCUUGUGUGAUUGAGUCCAAAAAGCACCAAGCACUAGUAAAGUCAGUCUGCAUGUUGCUAAAAGGCUAGUAAUUCACAGUGUUGAUUUCUAGUCAUGCAAACUUGCAGUAUUAUGAAUAGCCUUUAUACAAACCCAUUUUAAUAUGAUCUUCCUAUAACAGAGAUCACUAAUACAAAUAGCUGUUCAUAAAAUU